rnacentral:rRNA from 2 species
GAUGAACGCUGGCGGCGUGCCUAACACAUGCAAGUCGAGCGAGGGUUUGCUCAGUAUUGAGUAUUCUAAAACUAGAAUGUUCAAUUCUGAGCAAAACCAAGCGGCGGACGGGUGAGUAACGCGUGGGUAACCUGCCCUAUACACAUGGAUAACAUACUGAAAAGUUUACUAAUACAUGAUAAUAUAUAUUUGCGGCAUCGCAGAUAUAUCAAAGUGUUAGCGGUAUAGGAUGGACCCGCGUCUGAUUAGCUAGUUGGUGAGAUAACUGCCCACCAAGGCGACGAUCAGUAGCCGACCUGAGAGGGUGAUCGGCCACAUUGGAACUGAGACACGGUCCAAACUCCUACGGGAGGCAGCAGUGGGGAAUAUUGCACAAUGGGCGAAAGCCUGAUGCAGCAACGCCGCGUGAAGGAUGAAGGCCUUCGGGUUGUAAACUUCUGUUCUAAGGGAAGAAAGAAAUGACGGUACCUUAGGAGCAAGCCCCGGCUAACUACGUGCCAGCAGCCGCGGUAAUACGUAGGGGGCAAGCGUUAUCCGGAAUUAUUGGGCGUAAAGAGUGCGUAGGUGGUUACCUAAGCGCAAGGUUUAAAUUAGAGGCUCAACCUCUACAUGCCUUGCGAACUGGGCUACUUGAGUGCAGGAGGGGAAAGCGGAAUUCCUAGUGUAGCGGUGAAAUGCGUAGAUAUUAGGAGGAACACCGGCGGCGAAGGCGGCUUUCUGGACUUUUACUGACGCUCAGGUACGAAAGCGUGGGGAGCAAACAGG